UUAGUAAAAUGUGUUCAUUUUCGUCGUCCUCCAGUUCUCGUGAUAGUGAUUUGGAAGUUUUAAUGCAAUUACCCGAUUGGGAUAGUGAAGUUGUUGGUGAUAUAUCAUCUGCAAUUGAUAAGCUAGCUUACGAGUAUGUUUUUAUACACCAACAGAUUACAGAAAAAUUACAUGAAAUUGCUGGAUUUCCUAGAAUUGUUGCCAUUGAUUGCACUCAUUUACGAAUUCAAUCAUCAUCUUAAUAUCAUACAGGUCUACUGAGAAAUCACUGGAUGGUUGUUAAUAGUGCUUGCUCAAAUAUACCAUAUUUAUUAACACCAUUUCUCUGGCUGACCAGAGAUAUGAUGAAGUACACAUUAAGAAUAGGAAUACUAUAGAGAGAAUAUUUGGAGUAUGGAAAUGUCGCUUUAACAUUGUAUUUAUCACUAGCUAAAGUUCAAGCUAUUAAUAUUGCCACA